GCUAUGUGCAAAUCGUCAGGAUGAGAACCUGCUGCAGGUUCGAGUCUCACACAGUGAGACAACGGAGCCGCUUGCGGCGACGGCCCGAAGGGCGAGCAAAGCGAGUCAUCCUGCACGACCCACCA
rnacentral:sRNA from 2 species